GUCCGGCCGGCUCACUUGGUAGAGCAUGAGGCUCUUGAUCUCAGGGUUGUGAGUUCGAGCCCCGUGUUGGGUG
rnacentral:tRNA from 1 species